rnacentral:rRNA from 1 species
GGCUCAGGAUGAACGCUAGCGGCAGGCUUAAUACAUGCAAGUCGUGGGGCAGCAUGGUGUAGCAAUACACUGAUGGCGACCGGCAAACGGGUGCGGAACACGUACAGAACCUUCCUUUAAGUGGUGAAUAGCCCAGAGAAAUUUGGAUUAAUACACCGUAACAUAUAGAAUCGGCAUCGGUUUUAUAUUAUAGCUCCGGCGCUUGAAGAUGGCUGUGCGGCUGAUUAGGUAGUUGGCGGGGUAACGGCCCACCAAGCCUGCGAUCAGUAACUGGUGUGAGAGCACGACCAGUCACACGGGCACUGAGACACGGGCCCGACUCCUACGGGAGGCAGCAGUAAGGAAUAUUGGUCAAUGGACGCAAGUCUGAACCAGCCAUGCCGCGUGAAGGAUGAAGGUCCUCUGGAUUGUAAACUUCUUUUAUCUGGGACGAAAAAAGGGCUUUCUAGCUCGACUGACGGUACCAGAGGAAUAAGCACCGGCUAACUCCGUGCCAGCAGCCGCGGUAAUACGGAGGGUGCAAGCGUUAUCCGGAUUCACUGGGUUUAAAGGGAGCGUAGGCGGGCAGGUAAGUCAGUGGUGAAAUCUCCGGGCUUAACCCGGAAACUGCCAUUGAUACUAUCUGUCUUGAAUAUCCUGGAGGUAAGCGGAAUAUGUCAUGUAGCGGUGAAAUGCUUAGAUAUGACAUAGAACACCCAUUGCGAAGGCAGCUUACUACGGGAUGAUUGACGCUGAGGCUCGAAAGCGUGGGGAUCAAACAGGAUUAGAUACCCUGGUAGUCCACGCCCUAAACGAUGGAUACUCGACAUCAGCGAUACACUGUUGGUGUCUGAGCGAAAGCAUUAAGUAUCCCACCUGGGAA